CUGGGUAAAUGCUGCAUGAUAAUGUAGAGGAAAGUCCAUGCUCGCACUGACCUGAGAUGGCAGUAGUGUUUGUGUUUAGGGAAAAAAUAACCUAAAGCAGGAAUAAAUAUUAUUUCUGACGGCAUUUAUUUCAUCUAAAGAAAAAUUCUAUGAUGAAAUAAAUAUAAAAGUGCCACAGAGACGAACUAUCUAGAAAUAGAUAGAGUGAAACGAGGUAAACCCCGCAAGCGAGAAACCCAAAUUAUGGUAGGGGAAUUUCUUUUUGAAGAAAUGAAUUCAAAAGAAAAUGAUUUUUAAGAUCAUAGAUAAAUAUUUACCGCCUAGCGAUAGGUACAGAACAUGGCUUACAA
rnacentral:RNase_P_RNA from 2 species